GCAGCUGGCUAAGCGCUAGCCCGGCCUGUGGCGAGUCUGCAGAGCUCGCCCGGAAGUAGCGUUGCGCGCGCAGAGGAUGGGCGCUGAGCAGCACACAGCCCGCGGCGGGGUCUCAGGAUCCGCGGCGCUGCCCGGGGCCGGGGGAAGGAAGCCAGCCGAGGAGACGCACGUGCCCUGAGUCCGGGAGCGGGGAGCCUCUUCAUCUCUCCAUCCUCCCUCCGCGCGCGCCCUCAGCCGUCCUCGUCCGCUCACCAUGCACCUCCCCUCCAAGAAAGGGCCACAUGCGUGCCAGGGACGCGAGCCCCGGCCACAGGGACAUAGCAGCCUAGAAGGUGAGUCAAGCGUUAAACCACAUGGGUACUCACCUGGGAAAUGAGAUAAAUGCCAAGAAGUGAGAGUUUCAUAACAUCGUAUUGGGGAGACGGUAGGACCUGAACCCCUGGGAGACCAGAGGUUUCUUUGGGCGAUUCACAUGUUAGCCAAGAUGUGAAGGCCCUAUAAGAGUAAACAAGGUAAGGAGGGAAGAAUUUUCCAGGCAGGCCAACAGCAGGUUCCAACAGCAGGGCCAACAGAGGUCCCAAGGCAGGAACGGUCUUGCAGCAGGGGAACUGGAGGAGGCUCAGCUCAGCAUGGUAGAGGGCUAGUGGUGCAGCGGAGCUGUGGUGUGAGAGGGGCCAGGUCAUGCAGAGGCCGAUAGAGCACAGCGAAGACCUCGGUCUUUAUUCUGGGAGACACGGGAAGUCCUCGGAGGAAGUUAAGCUGAUAAGAGACAUCAUGAAGUUUGGGCCAGGCGCAGUGGCCCACGCCUGUAAUCAUAACACUUUGGGAGGCUGACAUGGGAGGAUCGCCUAAGGCCAGGAGUUCGAGACCAGCCUGGUCAGCAUAGUGAGACCCUCGCCCCCGCCCGCCAUCGCUAAAUAAAUAAAUAAGACAUAAUGAAGUUUGAAUUGUAAUGAGAUCACUCUGGCUGCUGUGUGGAAGAUGGAUGGGAGAAGGGCCAGGUAGAGCCUAAUGUAGCCAAUUCGGGCAGACCGCUGGUGGCAGGUAAGAUGGGGAGAAGUGGAUAGAUGCAAGAGGCAUUUAGAAAGCUAAACUGUCAGAUGUGAGGAUGAAUUGGAAGUGCGGGUGGCGGAAGGAAAUGUCAGGUGUUGACCAUUUUUUUAAAGGUAAAAUCAUGACCUUCAUACACAUAUAAAAUGAACACGUCAAAUAUUUUAUUUAACUCGAUAAUGAAUACAUCAUAAGUUGUUACAAAUUGUUUAAAGAAUUUGGCCAGAUGCAGUGCCUCGCGCCUGUAAUCCCAACACUUUGGGAGGCCAAGGCAGGAGGAUUGCUGGAGGUCAGGAAUUUGAGACCAGCCUGGGCAGCAUGGCAAGACCCUGUCUCUACCAAAAAAAAAAAAUUUUUUUUAAGAAAAAAAUUAGCCAGGCAUGGUGACGUUUACCUGUGGUCCCAGCUAUUCUGGAGGCUGAGGCAAAAGGACCGCUCCGGCACGGGCAACAGAAACCCUGUGUCAAAAAAAAAAAAAACGGAAGACGAAUGCUGAAAUGAAUUUGCAAAAACUGCUCUAUCUCUAGUGCAAAGGUCAAUUGCAUUUAACUGGACACAGCUAAUUUGCAUUUUCUGUGCACAAGGAUUGUUGGCCAGGCUUGUAAUACCAGCACUUUGAGCGGCAAGGCCAGAGGAUUGCUUGAGCCCAGGAGUUCAAGACCAGCCUGGGCAAUAUAGACCCCAUCUCUGAAAAAAAAAAUUUUUUUUUUUACAUUGCUGACUGUUUUUUUUUGUUUGUUUGUUUAAUCUUUAGAGACAGGGGCUGGAGUGCAGUGGUGCAAUCAAGGCUCACUGCAGCCUCGAUCUCCUGGGCUCAAGUGAUCCUCCCACCUCAGCCUCCCAAGUAGCUGUAGCUGGAACUACAGGCACGUGCCACCACACUCAGCUAAUUUUUUUUUUUUUGAGAUGGAGUUCCCCUCUUGUUGCCCAGGCUGGAGUGCAAUGGCGCCAUCUCAGCUCACUGCAACCUCUGCCUCUCGGGUUCAAGCAAUUCUCCUGCCUCAGCCUCCCGAGUAGCUGGGAUUACAGGCGUGCGUCACUUUGCCUGGCUAAUUUUGUAUUUUCAGUAGAGACAGGGUUUCUCCAUGUUGGUCAGGCUGGUCUCGAACUCCCGACCUCAGGUGAUCCUCCCGCCUCGGCCUCCCAAAGUGCUGGGAUUACAGGCGUGAGCCACCAUGCCCGGCCUCUAAUUUUUUAAUAUUUUUGUAGAUACUGGGUCCUGCUGUGUUGCUAAUGCUGGUCUCGAACUCCUGUGCUCAAGUGACCCUCCUGCACUGGGAUUACAUGUGUGAGCCACCACAUUGCCAGGCCACAUUGCUGCCUGUUUUUUAAAGGUUAAUUUCUGCCUCUACAGAGGUAUGAAAUCAUCUAGUCAAAAAAGCAGGCAUAGCCGGUGGUGUCCAUCUCAGAGGGAGCCCUGUGACUGUAUUGAUCCAGCACAAACCCCUCCUCUCAAGUCCCUCACUGUGUCACACCUUUUGCCAUAAGAGGUCAUAGUCAUAGGUGCUGAGGAUUAGGCUGUGGACAUAUCUUUGGGCGCCCACGGAAAUGUUCUUAUUUCUAUUAAAAUUGGAAAAAUGAACUUUUAGGUUGAAGAAAAUGUAUUUUAUUCAAGAAAACAUGUAAAGAAAAUAUAGCAGCCAGGCGCGGUGGCUCAUGCCUGUAAUCCCAGCACUUUGGGAGGCCAAGGCAGGUGGAUCACCUGAGGUCAGGAGUUCAAGACCAGCCUGGCCAACAUGGUGAAACCCCGUCUCUAAAAUUAAAGUACAAAAAUUAGCUGGGCUAAUUUUACAGAGAAGGAAAGACAAAGCUCACUGCAGACUUUUCAGCAGGAGGGCAGCGUUCGUGGCUUAGAAAGACCAGUCUGCUGCCGGUGAAGAGCAGGGUGCUUCAGAGUGGCUCCCAGAGAGAAAGGGGCAGCACACUCUUCCACAUGCCCAUUGUGCUCCCCAGGAGAAUGUGUGGCAGAGACUGAGGCUGGCCACAGGAAUUACACAUACAGUGUAAAAUUUGCAAAGCAAGAAGUAUAGCUGUGCUCAAAAAUAGGUCGAAGCCGGGCGCCGUGGCUCAUGCCUAUAAUCCCGGCACUUUGGGAGGCCAAGGCAGACGGAUUUCUUGAGGUUAGGAAUUUGAGACCAGCCUGGCCAGCAUGGUGAAGCCCCAUCUCUACUAAAAUUCAAAAAAUAAAAACAAAAACAAAAACAAAACUGGUGGCUGGGCGUGGUUGCUCACGCCUGUAAUCCCAGCACUUUGGGAGGCCGAUGCAGGUGGAUCACUUGAGGUCAGGAGUCCGAGACUAUCCUGACCAACCUGGUGAAACCCCGUCUCUAAUAAAAAUACAAAAAUAAGCCAGGCAUGGUGGCAGGCGCCUGUAAUCCCAGCUACUUGGGAGGCUGAGGCAGGAUAAUCGCUCAAACCCGGGAGGUGAAGGUUGCAGUGAGCUGAGAUCGCGCCAUUGCACUCCAGCCUGGGAGACACAGCGGGACUCUAUCAAAAAAACAAAACAAAACAAAACAAAAGUGAUAUCUCUGUGAGCCAGAAAUGAAGAGAAAUGCAAAGUGCUGAGUGGGCCUGCAACUGCAAAGCUGCUGGGCCUGGGUCACCCACGCUUGUAAAAGAAGCACGCAGCCAGGGGCGCACCAGUGGUCCCAGCUACUUGGGGAGGCCGAGGUGGGAGGAAUCACUUGAGCCCAGGAGUGCAAGACCAGCUGGAGCAACAUGGUGUGAACCUGUCUCAAAAAAAUAAAAAUAAAGAAAAAUUUUAAAAACCCAUGCAGCCAAAGAGGGAUGUCCAGACAGCCUUAUGUCCAGGACCUGAGCAAACCAGUCCCUGACUUAGAGUGCAGAUGGGACCUGGGGCAUUUGCACCACCACGCAGGGCUGUAGGACUCAAUACAACACGUGUGACGGAGAUGUAGCUGUCCACCCAGCGCCCCCACCCUCCUCGGUACUAAGUGGACAUGUGGGUGUCCAGCUCUACUACAUUUCCCAGCUUCCCUUGGAGUUGGGAGCUGCCAUGUGGCCAGGUUCUCGCCCAUGGAACAUGAGGGGAGGUGACAUGCAUGGCUUCUGAGCCUGGACCAUCAUUCCUCCCCGGGGCUGCCUCCUACCGUGGACCAGCUUCCUAGGCUGCUGCAACACAUUAUGACAGACUCAGUGCCUCAAAACAAUGCAAAUAUAUGCUCUUCAGCUCUGGAAGCCAGAGUCUGAAAUCAGUUUCAUGGGCUAAAGUCAAGGUGUCAGUGGGGCUUGUUCCUUUUGGAGACUCUAGGGGAGGAACCAUCUGUGGCCUUUCUAGCUUCUUGCAUCCCUCAGACCCAUGCAUUCAUCUUCACACCUGUUUUCUCUCUGUACGGAUAUGUCUCUUUGCCUCCCUAUUACAAGAACAUUUGGGAUCCCAUUUCAGACCCACCCAGAAUAUCCUCCCAUCUCAAGAUCCUUAAUGUCAUGACAUCUGCUAACUCCUUUUUGCCAUGUAAAGCAACAUCACAUGUUCUGACUAUUAGGAUGCAGACAUAUUUGGAGGCCAUUAUUCAGCCUACUACAGGUGACAGGUACAACCUUGGAAGCCCUGUUUUGAGGAUGGCAGAGCCCACCAGCCUGCAUCCCUCCAAGACUGCGUGGAACAGAUCUUCCUUACUAUCCCUUUCUCCUCCUCUGCCUGACCUGGACAUACACCCUGCCCUGUUACGUGAAAGCAAAAGAAAAUCCUGUUGUGUUUAAGAUAUUGCGUUUGGAGUCCAUUUGUUCCAGAUGUUUAGCCCACCCUAAUACAGAGAGGUUGAGGCAACUGCAGAACAGGGAGACAGACAGCGUCACACACAGUGAGGAAGAGAGAAAAUGAAACAUUUCCUAAUUAAAAUGAACCUAGAAUGUAAGUUCCAAAGGGAUUGUAAAAAUGAAUACUAAAUAAGAAAGCCAAAGGCCAGGCACAGUGACUCAUGCCUAUAAUCCAGCACCUUGGGAGGCCGAGGCAGGUGGAUUGCUUGAGCUCAGGAGUUCAAGACCAGCCUGGGCAACAUAGUGAAGACCCUGUGUCUACAAAACUUUAAAAAAAUUAGCUGGGUGUGGUGGCCUGUGCCUACAGUCCCAGCUACUUGGAAGACUGAGGCAAGAGGAUCAGCUGAGCCCAGGAGGUCAAGGCUGCCAAUGAACCAUGAUUUCGCCACUGCACUCCAGCAUGAAUGAUAGAGGGAGACCCUGUCUCAAAAUAUAAAAUAAAUAAGAAAGCCAAUACUGUGAACAAUGGGAACAUGAAUUAUUAAAGUUGAAUUUUAUAUUGUAGAACAUGAGUAUGAUUUUAAAAUUAUGUUUAGAACCAGGCCAUGUGGCUCAUGCCUGUAGUCCCUGCUACUCAGAAGGCUGAGGUGGGAGGAUCCCUUAGGCCCAGGUGUUAGGAGUUCACGGGUACAGUGAGCUAUAAUCAUGCCAGUGCACUCCAGCUUGGGUGACAGAGUGACUCUGAUUUAAAAAAAAUGGGAAUGGGACUGG
rnacentral:lncRNA from 1 species